UACGUAGGGUCCGAGCGUCGUCCGGAAUUAUUGGGCGUAAAGGGCUCGUAGGCGGUUUGUCGCGUCGGGAGUGAAAACAGCCAGCUUAACUGGUUGCUUGCUUUCGAUACGGGCAGACUAGAGGUAUGCAGGGGAGAAUGGAAUUCCUGGUGUAGCGGUGAAAUGCGCAGAUAUCAGGAGGAACACCGGUGGCGAAGGCGGUUCUCUGGGCAUUACCUGACGCUGAGGAGCGAAAGUGUGGGGAGCGAACAGG
rnacentral:rRNA from 1 species